rnacentral:lncRNA from 1 species
AUUCAAGUGAGUUGGCACCAUGAUGGCCGCCACACCAAUAUCCAUUUUAAUGUGAAGGCGUCAGCAUGAUUCUCUCUGAGGCCCCCGUACUCCGCAACCGAUAAUUCCAUUUUCUUGCGUAGGGAAGUUUUAUUUGAAGAAAAAUUGCGGAUGGAAUUCGAGCAUUUGGAGAUCCUUGAAUAUUGGUGUCUGUCGGCGCGAAAGAAUAUCACACGGUUAGAACAAAGUCCCGUUUCUGAGAAAAGCUGGGAGCAGCUGACGAAUGAAUACAAGGAUGCGGAGAAAAUAAGACGCGAAGCAUUGAGCCUGGUAACGGAGAAACACACAGAAUCCGAGAUCAUGGCAACAUACAUGGCGACUUUCGCUGAUUUCAGCAGAAUGUUGGAUAAAACGCGCAUGGCGAUUGAAGAUGUUCGAUCGAUUCUCAUGACCGACGAUCUUGAAAAGCCAACGGAUUUGGUAAAUCCGUGGGUGUCCCUUGUCCGCGUAGAGCUGCUGACUAACGCAACAAAAAUUUUGGAAACCAGACUGACGCAGGGGGCCAAAGACGUCCCUAGGGAGGCUCUCGAAGACACCGACUUUUGGAUUCUUUUGGCUGCCUUCCAAAGUAGCGGCGAAUUUUGACUGAGUCCAUCACAAAAGUUGAUGAUGCAAGGAGAAAUUGCAGAGAAGCAAUCCGAGCAUGCGUUUUGCAUGUGAAAACUGUGCGGAAAUAAGAUCGUGUAAAAAAUCACCCAAAGCUUUCGGCAACCGGAGAUUGGGUUUAAAAACACAACGCUCGUGGUAGUGCUAUUAAAAUUCCACCAGCGUAGGAGAUCGCGGUUUAUUUAUACCCAAAGUUAAGAAAGCGAAAAAGAGAGGGAAGAGAAAGCUCCUCUGCUCGCUGGCCAUGUUCGUCAUCUGAAUUAAAAUCACGUUUAACAUUUUCUCCAUGAUUAUUAAAUUUUUAAAUGAAAACCGGGGACAAAGACCGGAGAAAAAACUCCGGAAUCAAACAGGUGUAAAAUUAAAUAGAUCUCUUUCGUCGAGAUUUGUACGCGGGGACGCCAAGGAGCUUUUCUUUCCUCUCUCUUUACGACAACGUUUUUUAUUCUUCGGCGUUGUUUAAAGUAAAACAAGGUAAUGCUUCGUCUGAAAAUUAAAAAAAAAAAAUUAUAUCGUGCUCUAAAGGAGGCUAAACAAGAACUCUAAAUGUUGCAGAAACGAGGGAUGGAUAGGAUGUAAUUGUGGACGAUUGUAAAAGUAGAAUUUUGU